AAUUUCCUUUCAGGGAAACUGGACCAAUUUUCAAAUACAUCCUUUGAUGAAUUCAAAAAGAAUUAUCUUAUGGGAAUACAUCAAGUCAAAGAGAAAUUAUCCUCACAUCAAUGACCAGUUAUUUCCUGCCUGUUAAGAUAAAAUAACUUUUGUUUUUUAUGAUAUUAUUAAGUGUUCACCACAAGACCCUAAGGAGAUAAGAAAAAUGAGCAUGCAAAAUGAAGAAUCUAACCAUAUGUACAUUUUAAACUUAUAUUUCUUAAAAAUGAUAUCAUUUGUUAAAAAUUAUUAUUGAAAAAUUAUGCAACUAAUUAAAUCUACUUUGCAAGUA